UCAUUGAAAAGGAUCAUUGGAAUCUGGGUUCUUGGAGAGCUAGCCGUUCCUUCAAUUUUUUCCCUCAUAGUUGGGUGUUACGCAGAUCUAUUCCCCAUGGUUGCUCCUGCAGGGAUUCUGCUUCCAGAGAUCGUUAGAUCGCAUCAUGAUCUGCCUUUCUAUACCAGAUUUGGUUUCUGAUGUUGAGGAGAUCUGAUCGGUUGGAUCUACGGCUUAACCUGCCGUCUGCAUAAACCAAAGCCUCUUGCUGUGGAAAAGGGUUGGUCGAACGUUUUGUAUCAGAAACCAACAUCUGACGGUGGAGAUUUGUUGGUUGAUUGAUCUGAGGCGGCUGGAGGUUAUUUUCUCUGAUAUAUGGUGGAUGAUGAAUCGAGGCGACGCGUGAAUAGCGAAGUGGGAUAACGUGUUUUGUAAGUCGAAUGGAUGUGUAAGAUAUCGGGGCAAAGAGGUCUUGUUUGCUGAGGGCUGAGUCCUGAUCUAUCUUUGUCCAUCCCGACCUUUGCCAUGGCAGGUGCGCUUGCAUGGCAGGUCACCCAAACUUAAUAAAAUUUAUAUCUUUUUGUGUUUCGAGGGGAGAUCUCACGGGAAUUGCCCGGGUUCUCCCCUCUGGUGUGCGUUGUCUUUGUUUUUGUCUUUUCUUUUUCCCAAUAUUUAUCUGCACCAUACGUGUUUGAUUCACGAUCCACGUCGUCAUCGGAAAAGCUUAUGCUCACCAAAGGCAUUGAUCUACCAGUUUCAAAUCGGGAAGCCCAAGGUAUAUUUUACAUCAUUUUUACUGGAAUUCGCCUUAUAGUUUAAUUGCAUGAAAUCUCGAUGGAACAGUCAGUUUAUCCAAAUUCGCUCUCAACAUGCACUGUUUAGGCUAGCGGCAAUCGUUUAUCCUCUGAACUAAUAUGCAUUAGAACGUAAGGAAAAGAAGGCUUGUAAGCUAUAUUCCUUACAUUUGCUACUGAUAGCUCAUAUGUUUUGUAAUUUAUAUUCCUCGCAUAUGCUACUAAUAGCUCAUAUGUGAACUGAUAUGCAUUAGAAUUUAAGGAAAAGAAGGCUUGUAAGCUCUAUACCUCACAUUAGCUACUGAUAGCCUCUAUGAAUCUAACCCAUUAACAUGGAUUAGUUCUUAAAGUUGGUCAUGCUGCAUAUAUAUCUCCCUUUUUGAUAAACAAUAGCAAUUUUCUAGCAGUUUUGUUUUGUAAAGAUAGGCAUGUUUGAUGGUUUUUGUCUUGUUUGAUCUAAAAAGGAUUGUAGGAUCACCUACUAACAUAAUGUGAUGGCUUGUUUUUGAUAAUUUCUAACUAAAAAGUGUCGAGCUUUAGAUUUGUCACCGUCUUUGGUGUGCAAAAUUGCCAAUGGUUUUUCCUGAUUUUUGCCACAAAUGCAUUAUCUGUUAUAGGUUAAACAGCAUUUUCUAAUUGAUUGCAAACUUUACCAAAAUGUUUUCAGAAGCCUUUUCUAGGAUAUAUAGAAGAUAAUGAUGCUCCUGAAUUUGCUUUGAUAUACUGGUGGUGCAGUCAUUAAAUUAAAAUCUAGCUGACAACUUGUAUGACAUAUUUGCCCGACUGGAGGGAAUAGUAUGUGAUUGGCAGUUUUCUGUAUCUGCGCACUUCUGAUGACCUUGGCACAAAUCAGCAUUUGCAAUUACAUGAAUCGGUAUAUGAUGUCUGUUCCAAUAAUUGCUGCUGUUCAUGCAAAUAGUGCUGCUUUCCUUUUAAUUGCAGUUUUAAACAUGUAUGCUUGCAAUACCGUUUCACCACAAACCAUUCUAUCAAAGUACAUUAUUUGGCCAACACAGAGUCUUCAUUCAAAGUGUCUCAAAUUUGGGCAUCUGAUCAGACUAAUCUACUCAUUAUUCUCAGACCUGACUUUACAUUUCCACUUCUAUUAAUAUCUUCAUUGGUAAAAUUCAAAUCCUCUGGAAAUGGCUUUCCUUCUCUCCACUAUUAUUAUUUAUCUUGCCUUAUUACUUUAAUCUAGUAUUAUCCGAACUAUUGUGCUAUUAUUGUAUUGUGAAUUGUGAUUUUCUAUCUUACAGUUGUAGUAGGUGGAUGCUAUAUUGUAUGAUGUGAUAGUGUAUUUGCUUGUGCUCGGCUCUAUUGUUCUUGAAGCCCUUUGUUGGGCUCCACUGUUAUAUUGUGUUCCAAUAACGUUUUGUUGGAAGAUUUUCUGUAAGUGUGAUUGUGUGUUGGAAGAAUCUUUUGGAUUUCAACCAUGUUGUGCAUCUUGAGCGGGCAUGUUCUCCAUGAGGAUUAUUCCAAGGUUUGUGGAGUGAAGAAUUUGUUAAGCCAAGUUCAACUUUCCAGGUUUCAUCUUGCAUCAUGCAAGUUAAAGAAUGACAGAUUUGGAGUCUCCUGAUAACUAAAUUAAUUGCAGCAGCUUCUUAGGCCUCCUAAGGUGAUUGGCUUCACCUGCAAGGAGAUAAGGACUGAUCCAAUCUCCAAGUUGAGGUUUGAGGAUCAGCUGUUUCCAAUUUUCUGGGAAAUUGCUCUUUUCAAGGUACAUGUCAGAUUUGUACAUCCAACUUUAAAUGGUAAAAGUUUUUAAGCGGACUACGGUCCCGUGGUUUUUCCCCUUGAUAAUAAGGGGUUUUCCACGUAAAUUUUGUUGUCUUUGUUGAGUUUAUUUGUUUCACAAGAUUUAUUUUGCUUCUUGUUUCAUCACUUCUUUAGAUAAGAAGUUACUUGUUCGUGAUUUGUAUUUCAAUUAGUUCUCUAUUUGUUUUUACCGUCACUACUUUGGGCAUGCAAACAUUUGAGGUGAGAAAUUGAGGCUUCCUUCUCUUUUCAGUGCA